rnacentral:rRNA from 1 species
UAGCGGCGAGUGAAGCGGCAAGAGCUCAGAUUUGAAAUCUCACCUAGUGUGCGAGUUGUAAAUUGCAGGUUGGAGUCUCGGGUUAGACGUGUGUGCAAGUCCCUUGGAACAGGGUGCCACUGAGGGUGAGAGCCCCGUAGCGUGCAUGUCGACACCUGUGAGGCCCUUCUGACGAGUCGAGUUGUUUGGGAAUGCAGCUCUAAGUGGGUGGUAAAUUCCAUCUAAGGCUAAAUAUUGGCGAGAGACCGAUAGCGAACAAGUACUGUGAAGGAAAGAUGAAAAGCACUUUGAAAAGAGAGUGAAACAGCACGUGAAAUUGUUGAAAGGGAAGGGUAUUGGGCUCGACAUGGGAUUUACGCAUCGUUGCCUCUCGUGGGCGGCGCUCUGGGUUUUUCCUGGGCCAGCAUCGGUUUUCGUUGCAGGAUAAGGACAAUUGGAAUGUGGCUCCUCGGAGUGUUAUAGCCUUUUGUAGAUGCUGCGUAUGGGGACCGAGGGCUGCGGCGGACUCGUUUCGUCUCGGAUGCUGGCACAACGGCGCAAUACCGCCCGUCUUGAAA